AACCUUAUGGACCUGCGGGCGUAUACCUGCGGAGGGAUCAUUACAGAGAUUGAUGCACCAAGUGCAUCACCUCCAACCCCUUGCGAAAACAACUAUCAUGUGUUGCUUUGGCAGUGUUUCCACUGCCAGAGGUUUACAUAAAAUCAGCUGUUUGGAUGUUGUCUGAGUAAACCAUGUGAAUUAUUUAAAACUUUCAACAACGGAUCU
rnacentral:misc_RNA from 1 species